GGGGGUGGGUUGGUUUUGACAGCAAGGCAAAUGAUUAGGUAAGCAUGCAGGCACAGGUAACAACCGCCUUAACAGAGGUUACAAAACUAUAAUUGGCGAAAAUCAAUACGCUUUUGCAGCUUAAUCGAAGAUUUCAGUAGAUUUUGCUUACCGUCUAUAAUGACGGGCAAAACAUCUCUCCAAAGCCUUUCGCUCUGCGGCUAAGGAUUAAGAGGUGCUCGGAUAGCAGAGAUAGCAAUUAAGCAUCUUCGGCUUUGUUGUGAAGUUUAAGAAGAUAAGCAUUGGGUAGGGCGUUUGCCUCCGGCUCAUUGACGAAAAUCAAAGGCAGAAUAAGCAUGUAGAAAGCAUAGUUGUUUCUUGUUUGGACCAGGGUUCGAAUCCCUGCACCUCCACUU
rnacentral:tmRNA from 1 species